rnacentral:rRNA from 1 species
AAAGGCGAAAUGAAAGUGAAGGUCCGCCUCGCGCGGACCCAGGGAGGAUGGGCCCGCCCACGGGGGGCCCCGCACUCCCGGGGCGUCUCGUUCUCAUCGCGAGAGGAGGCGCACCCAGAGCGUACACGCUGGGACCCGAAAGAUGGUGAACUAUGCCUGGUCAGGACGAAGUCAGGGGAAACCCUGAUGGAGGUCCGUAGCGAUUCUGACGUGCAAAUCGAUCGUCGGAACUGGGUAUAGGGGCGAAAGACUAAUCGAACCAUCUAGUAGCUGGUUCCCUCCGAAGUUUCCCUCAGGAUAGCUGGCGCUCGCCGCGCGCGAGUCUCAUCCGGUAAAGCGAAUGAUUAGAGGCAUUGGGGUCGAAACGGCCUCAACCUAUUCUCAAACUUUAAAUGGGUGAGAUCUCCGGCUUGCUCGAACACGUGAAGCCGCGAGAUUCGGAUCAGAGUGCCAAGUGGGCCACUUUUGGUAAGCAGAACUGGCGCUGUGGGAUGAACCAAACGCAGAGUUAAAGCGCCCAAAUCGACGCUUAUGGGA